UACGAAGGGGACUAGCGUUGUUCGGAUUUACUGGGCGUAAAGCGCGCGUAGGCGGAUCGCUAAGUCAGGGGUGAAAUCCCAGGGCUCAACCCUGGAACUGCCUUUGAUACUGACGAUCUGGAGAUCGGGAGAGGUUGGUGGAAUUCCGAGUGUAGAGGUGAAAUGCGUAGAUAUCGAGAGGAACACCUGCGGCGAAGGCGGGUUGCUGGGCUGAUACUGACGCUGAGGCGCGAAAGCCAGGGGAGCGAACGGG
rnacentral:rRNA from 1 species